CACUUAUUAGCUAGCCCAACCUUUACAGUUUAACUACCCCCUAUAAUCAGAUCAGAAAGACACUAUUACACCUACUUAACCAAACCAUUUUUCCCCCGAGUCUAGGCGAUAAAAAAGGAAACUUGGAGCAAUAGAAAAAGUACCGCAAGGGAAAGCUGAAAGAGGGAUGAAAUAGCCCAGUAAAGCCUAACAAAGCAGAGAUUCAACCUCGUACCUUUUGCAUCAUGAUUUAGCCAGAACCUUCAAGCAAAGAGAACUAAGAGUUUGGACCCCCGAAACUGAGUGAGCUACUCCAAGGCAGCCUAAAUUGCAGGGCGAACCCGUCUCUGUGGCAAAAGAGUGGGAAGAACUUUGAGUAGAAGUGACAGACUUACCGAACUCAGUGAUAGCUGGUUGCCCACGAAUUGGAUAGAAGUUCAGCCUCCAAGUUUCCCUCAGUCGCACUCACAGGACACCCUGUAUUUGCUCCGGACACAAAAUGAAGCCUUGGAAGGUUAGUCAAAGGGGGUACAGCCCCUUUGAAACAAGAUACAACUUUUACAGAAGGAUAAAGAUCAUACUUCACCAAGGAUUAAUGUUCUAGUGGGCCUAAAAGCAGCCACCUUAAAUAAUAGCGUUAAAGCUUAUACAUGUACUUUACUCCCCAAAUGCCGAUAACCCAUCUCAAUCCCCUAACCCCUAGUGAGCCGCCCCAUGCUAUUCAUGGGAACGACCAUGCUAAUAUGAGUAAUAAGAGAGCACCCCCGCCUCUCUCCUCGCACACGUGUAAAUCGAACUGGACCCGCCACCGAGAAUUAACGGCCCCAAUCAAAGAGGGAACUGGAAGACAACACAACCAACCAGAAGAACAUCCAACACACCCCGUUACCCCUACACUGGAGUGCACCUGAGGAAAGACCUAAAGGGGAAGAAGGAACUCGGCAAACAUAACCCUGAAGCCUCGCCUGUUUACCAAAAACAUCGCCUCUUGCAAAAUUACAGUAUAAGAGGUCCCGCCUGCCCGGUGACAACUUGUUCAACGGCCGCGGUAUUUUGACCGUGCUAAGGUAGCGUAAUCACUUGUCUUUUAAAUGAAGACCCGUAUGAAUGGCAAAACGAGGGCUUAACUGUCUCCUUCCCCAAGUCAAUGAAAUUGAUCUCCCCGUGCAGAAGCGGGGAUUACCUCAUAAGACGAGAAGACCCUAUGGAGCUUUAGACAAACGACUGAACCAUAUUCCAUAAACCCCCCUUACAGGACUAAAUUUAAUGGACCCUCCUUCAAUGUCUUCGGUUGGGGCGACCAUGGGGAAGAUAAAACCCCCACGUGGAACGGGGUCACAGAUACAUGCACACCACCCCUCAGAACAGAGCGACAGCUCUACCCAGCAGAACUUCUGACCAGACUGAUCCGGACAUUCCGAUCAACGAACCAAGUUACCCUAGGGAUAACAGCGCAAUCCCCUUUUAGAGUCCAUAUCGACAAGGGGGUUUACGACCUCGAUGUUGGAUCAGGACAUCCUAAUGGUGCAGCCGCUAUUAAGGGUUCGUUUGUUCAACGAUUAAUAGUCCUACGUGAUCUGAGUUCAGACCGGAGUAAUCCAGGUCAGUUUCUAUCUAUGUUUUGGUCUUUCCCAGUACGAAAGGACCGGAAAGGAAGGGCCCAUGCAUCAUUACGCCCUCCCCUUACCUAAUGAAAAAAUCUAAAUUAGGCAAGAGGACAUAUAGCAGCAACCAAAGACAAUGGUCU
rnacentral:rRNA from 1 species